AUGAUUGUGCAGGUUACAUUCAGUAUGACCGAAAUGAUGGAAACACCAGACCCAAAUUCUCCAGCAGUAUCAGUGUUGCAAUUGCUUUGCUGUGAUUGGAGUGGGUAUUUCACCCUCUUUAGAGAAACCCCCGACUACUCACAGGAUCCUAAGAAGAGGUAUGAGAAAGGUGGUUUCCUGACAUUUGCUGGAAUGACAAAGAAGAUGCAGUUCCCAGAUAUUUUUGGACCCAUCACCGAGUUGCAGCAAUAUAAAGAAUCAUACACAGAUGUGACAAAGGUUGAAAUAUUCAAGGGCUUUCUUAAGAGAAUGACCUACGAAUGCCCGCGCUUCCCUGAAAGUGAGGACUUUGUGGUUGAGAACUGUGAGUUGCCUCGUUCUCAUCUGAAAAUGGUGACCCCAAGGCUGAGUGAAUUGAUCCGUGAAUGGUCGAAAUUAUCAAAACUGGCGUUCAUGUUUUUUAUUGCUAUUAUCGAGUUCGACAUGGAGUUUAGGGAGAGUCGUGUUAGUUUUGACGAAGCUAGAAAGGAGAUGCACAGUCAAAUUGAUAUGAGGGGGGGUGAUCUAGUGCUGAAUUUUUGCGGAUCAGAUGGAAACUUCAACUUGAGAACCUUGUUGGGAGGUUAUCUUCGUCUGCUAAAAUGUGAAAAGGAGGACAUUAUUAGGAUCAUCAUGCGGACUAAGCAUCAAGUCACUAACAUUAUCCAUGAGCACAAACCAAAACUUGAAGAGCAAGACCUGACAAAGAUGACAGCAGCCAAGAGGAGUAUAGCAGAGCGCAGGAAAGCUGAAAACAAUGCUGAGUAUGCUCGCUGGGAGAGAAUCAGGGAUGAGGAUGGGCAGAAGCUGGAGAGGAUGAGGAAGAGGCUGGGUCUGAGAAGUGUGAUGACCAGUGAUGUGAAGAUGACAGAAGUUGUUUUCUGGAGGUGCUCUGACAUUAGAAGUUUGCCUUAUCCAAAAACGCCGUGUUCAGUUGUUGGGUGCCUUUUGGUUCGUCCAUCAUGGAGAAGAUUUCACCCGGAGCAAGAAAGGUGA
rnacentral:rRNA from 1 species